AGAGUUUGAUCCUGGCUCAGAAUCAACGCUGGCGGCGUGCCUAACACAUGCAAGUCGAACGAGAAAGGGUAGCAAUACCUGAGUAAAGUGGCGCACGGGUGAGUAACACGUGACUAACCUACCCUGGAGUGGGGGAUAACUGAGGGAAACCUUAGCUAAUACCACAUAAUACCUACGGGUCAAAGGAGCAAUUCGCUUUGGGAGGGGGGUCGCGGCCGAUUAGUUAGUUGGCGGGGUAAUGGCCCACCAAGACAGUGAUCGGUAUCCGGCCUGAGAGGGCGCACGGACACACUGGAACUGAAACACGGUCCAGACUCCUACGGGAGGCAGCAGUGGGGAAUUUUGCGCAAUGGGGGAAACCCUGACGCAGCAACGCCGCGUGGAGGAUGAAGUACUUCGGUACGUAAACUCCUUUCGAUCGGGAAGAUAAUGACGG
rnacentral:rRNA from 1 species